rnacentral:ncRNA from 1 species
UCAUAAGUACAUGACGUAUUAAGACGAAACCACGAAUGGCUCAUUAAAUCAGUUACGUUUCCUUGGAUCGUACCUUACUACCCGGAUAACUGUGGCAAUUCUAGAGUUAAUACAUGCAGCAGGGCUCCAACACUCUGGCGACAAGAACUUUUAUUAGACCAAAACCAAUCGAACCUCGUGUCCAUAUUAUGUGUUGACUCUGUAUAACUUUGGGCUGAUCGCACAUACUCGUCUCGGCGACGUACCUUUCAAGUGUCUACCUUAUCAACUGUCGAUGGUAGGUUACUAAUGCUGUGUUAUUUAACAAUGAAAAGUGAUCAAAUAAAUGCUUGAUCUGAG